ACUCCUACGGGAGGCAGCAGUGGGGAAUAUUGCACAAUGGGCGCAAGCCUGAUGCAGCCAUGCCGCGUGUAUGAAGAAGGCCUUCGGGUUGUAAAGUACUUUCAGCAGUGAGGAAGGCGGGUACGUUAAUAGCGUGCUCGUUUGACGUUAGCUGCAGAAGAAGCACCGGCUAACUCCGUGCCAGCAGCCGCGGUAAUACGGAGGGUGCGAGCGUUAAUCGGAAUUACUGGGUCGUAAAGCGCAUGCAGGUGGUUUGUUAAGUCAGAUGUGAAAGCCCGGGGCUCAACCUCGGAAUUGCAUUUGAAACUGGCAGACUAGAGUACUAGUAGAGGGGGGUAGAAUUUCAGGUGUAGCGGUGAAAAUGCGUAAGAGAUACUGAAGGAAUACCGGUAGGCGAAGGCGGCCCCCUGGACAGAUACUGACACUACAGAUAGCGAAAAAGCGUGGGGAAGCAAAACAGGAUUAGAU
rnacentral:rRNA from 1 species